AACGAUAAAGCGGGUGAAAAGCCCGCUCGCCGGAAGACCAAGGGUUCCUGUCCAACGUUAAUCGGGGCAGGGUGAGUCGACCCCUAAGGCGAGGCCGAAAGGCGUAGUCGAUGGGAAACAGGUUAAUAUUCCUGUACUUGGUGUUACUGCGAAGGGGGGACGGAGAAGGCUAUGUUAGCCGGGCGACGGUUGUCCCGGUUUAAGCGUGUAGGCUGGUUUUCCAGGCAAAUCCGGAAAAUCAAGGCCGAGGCGUGAUGACGAGGCACUACGGUGCUGAAGCAACAAAUGCCCUGCUUCCAGGAAAAGCCUCUAAGCAUCAGGUAACAUCAAAUCGUACCCCAAACCGACACAGG
rnacentral:rRNA from 1 species